rnacentral:tRNA from 1 species
GAACGUGGGGCCCGAGCGGUCUAAGGCGCUGGUUUUAGGCACCAGUUCAUUUCGAUGGGGCGUGGGUUCGAAUCCCACCGCUGCCA